GACGUAGGGUGCGAGCGUUGUCCGGAUUUACUGGGCGUAAAGGGCGCGUAGGCGGCCAGCGCAAGUCAGUUGUGAAAUCUCCGAGCUUAACUCGGAAACUGCCAUGGAUACUAUAAGUCUUGAAUGUUGUGGAGGUUUGCGGAAUAUGUCAUGUAGUCGGUGAAAUGCUUAGAUAUGACAUAGAACACCGAUUGCGAAGGCAGCAGGCUACACAAAUAUUGACGCUGAGGCACGAAAAGCGUGGGGAUCAAACAGG
rnacentral:rRNA from 1 species